rnacentral:ncRNA from 2 species
CAGCCUUGCCCGGGGUGCGCAAGGAAUGCGCUGAGAUGGUCGACCAAACCCGCGAACUUGAUCCGGUUCAUACCGGCGUAAGAAGAGCCAGACUGCAGUCCC